rnacentral:rRNA from 1 species
CUGGCGGCAGGCCUAACACAUGCAAGUCGAGCGGAUGAGAGGAGCUUGCUCCUUGAUUUAGCGGCGGACGGGUGAGUAAUGCCUAGGAAUCUGCCUGGUAGUGGGGGAUAACGUUCCGAAAGGAACGCUAAUACCGCAUACGUCCUACGGGAGAAAGCAGGGGACCUUCGGGCCUUGCGCUAUCAGAUGAGCCUAGGUCGGAUUAGCUAGUUGGUGAGGUAAUGGCUCACCAAGGCGACGAUCCGUAACUGGUCUGAGAGGAUGAUCAGUCACACUGGAACUGAGACACGGUCCAGACUCCUACGGGAGGCAGCAGUGGGGAAUAUUGGACAAUGGGCGAAAGCCUGAUCCAGCCAUGCCGCCGUGUGUGAAGAAGGUCUUCGGAUUGUAAAGCACUUUAAGUUGGGAGGAAGGGCAUUAACCUAAUACGNUAGUGUUUUGACGUUACCGACAGAAAAGC